CCGAAUGGGGAAACCCAGUGUGAUUCGUCACACUAUCAUUAACUGAAUCCAUAGGUUAAUGAGGCGAACCGGGGGAACUGAAACAUCUAAGUACCCCGAGGAAAAGAAAUCAACCGAGAUUCCCCCAGUAGCGGCGAGCGAACGGGGAGGAGCCCAGAGCCUGAAUCAGCAUGUGUGUUAGUGGAAGCGUCUGGAAAGGCGCGCGAUACAGGGUGACAGCCCCGUACACAAAAGCGCAUGUGCUGUGAGCUCGAUGAGUAGGGCGGGACACGUGGUAUCCUGUCUGAAUAUGGGGGGACCAUCCUCCAAGGCUAAAUACUCCUGACUGACCGAUAGUGAACCAGUACCGUGAGGGAAAGGCGAAAAGAACCCCGGCGAGGGGAGUGAAAAAGAACCUGAAACCGUGUACGUACAAGCAGUGGGAGCCCCACCACUAAGCCAGUGGUGAACUCCACAUACGCAUCCUUUGCUGAGGAUACGGUUAACGGAGCGAAAGCGACGUUCAACCUCAAAAGAAGCAGAGGGGGCUUAGUGGUGGGGUGACUGCGUACCUUUUGUAUAAUGGGUCAGCGACUUAUAUUCUGUAGCAAGGUUAACCGUAUAGGGGAGCCGGAGGGAAACCGAGUCUUAAUUGGGCGUUAAGUUGCAGGGUAUAGACCCGAAACCCGGUGAUCUAGCCAUGGGCAGGUUGAAGGUUGGGUAACACUAACUGGAGGACCGAACCGACUAAUGUUGAAAAAUUAGCGGAUGACCUGUGGCUGGGGGUGAAAGGCCAAUCAAACCGGGAGAUAGCUGGUUCUCCCCGAAAGCUAUUUAGGUAGCGCCUCGUGAAUUCAUCUCCGGGGGUAGAGCACUGUUUCGGCUAGGGGGCCAUCCCGGCUUACCAACCCGAUGCAAACUGCGAAUACCGGAGAAUGUUAUCACGGGAGACACACGGCGGGUGCUAACGUCCGUCGUGAAGAGGGAAACAACCCAGACCGCCAGCUAAGGUCCCAAAGUCAUGGUUAAGUGGGAAACGAUGUGGGAAGGCCCAGACAGCCAGGAUGUUGGCUUAGAAGCAGCCAUCAUUUAAAGAAAGCGUAAUAGCUCACUGGUCGAGUCGGCCUGCGCGGAAGAUGUAACGGGGCUAAACCAUGCACCGAAGCUGCGGCAGCGA
rnacentral:rRNA from 1 species